rnacentral:rRNA from 1 species
CAAACUGGAGAUGGCGACCGGCGCACGGGUGGGUAACACGUAUCCAACCUGCCGAUAACUCGGGGAUAGCCUUUCGAAAGAAAGAUUAAUACCCGAUGGCAUAAUAGAACCGCAUGGUUUGAUUAUUAAAGAAUUUCGGUUAUCGAUGGGGAUGCGUUCCAUUAGGCAGUUGGUGGGGUAACGGCCCACCAAACCUUCGAUGGAUAGGGGUUCUGAGAGGAAGGUCCCCCACAUUGGAACUGAGACACGGACCAGACUCCUACGGGAGGCAGCAAUG